rnacentral:misc_RNA from 1 species
GUUGUUAGAUAGAGAGAAAGAGAGAGUGAAAGAUGUGUAGUAAAAGUUUUAGUAUAGGCCUUUGUGUUAUCCUAAUAGGAGAGAAUCCAAAAGAAUUUAAUAAGGGUGGCAAUUUUAGACACGACAUGCGAACACGAUACUAAAAAAUAAAGGUUUAUGGUUGGAUUUAUUCGUGUUCGUGUUGAAAUCGCGUUAGUCCACAUAUGACAUGCCAAUAAUCUUGUUAUAUCAUGGGUUGACCCACUAACCCAAUUUGACAUGCUUCAUUGUUUGUGUCAUAUUUCGACCUACGAUCUGUUAACUCAUUUUGACUCACAAAUGACAUUGGAAAAUGAUAAAUUAGUAAAUA